CAUCACCCUCCUGCCAGGGGUUGAAGUCAGGAAGUAGUUUAUUUUCGCUGAAACUGAAGGGGGAAGUUAAAGAGAAAAAUAGCUGCAACUUGGUCAAUUCAGGAAAACCAGGUACGAAAAAAGAGGAGCAAGUUAAAGGGAAAGCCAGCUCGGAUUUGCUCACCAGUAAAAGGCAAAAAUCCCAGUGUUAUUCAUCUGCAUUUGGUGUGAAAGACAAAAGCUCAACUGGGAUCUGAGGCUUUCUGUGUCAGAGGGCAAGGAGUCAAUGGGGUUAUGAGGAAGUAAGACCACUUGAGACAUCAAAGAAAAGUAGAUCAAAUCACUAGACUCCUCCAAACAGGAGUGGGUGAAGACAAAAAGUGGAGAGAAUCCAGAGGGAAGAGAGGAGUAGGGAAAAUGGUGGAAAGGGAAGGUUUUUGAGAUGGAAGGCAGAGAAUGGGAACAAAAGAAGAAAAAGCUGUUUGUUUCAAAUCAAUAUUCUCCAAGAGGAUGUCUUGUUUCCCCAGGGAUAUUCUGAGGGACUCACAGGAUCAGAGCUGCGACACUUCUAACAUAUGAAUUCUCUCAAUUCUGAUGCCCUUUGACCUCUGCCACACAAUGCCAAGACAAACCCAGACCCCAGGCCCUGGAAACAGAGGAGGGGCAGGCAGAUUGACUGGCAAGCCUAUCACCACCUUGAUAACAGAUGACAUUAAAGAGAAAGUAUCAAUGUGAGGAUUAAAUGGGAUGAAAAAUAAAACAUCUGUCGGAGUGCCUGGAAUAUGGUACACAAAUAUCCAAGAUUGGAAAGAAGAAAGAAAAUGACGACAGAAUUUUGCAGUCUACAAGGCAAACACUGCCAUUCAUGUAGUUAUGGAGUUCCUACUAUGUGCAGACAAUGGGAAACUUUACGAAGGGUUUUAAAAAGCAGCAGGUUUAAGAGCUGACCAUAUCUGAAAGACUCUAGAAUAGCAGAGGAUUGAUUAAAGGUCUGUGGCCACAGAUUGGAUGUGUUGAUUUUAUUUCCCCAAAGGUAUCCACAUAGCAACUUGGCAGUACACACAUAUCCCAAAUAUAUGUACACAGUGUUUACAGAAAAUACUAAUUGUACCCUUACCUAAAAUGUUAGGUCCCAUUUUCAUUUUAAAGACUCAUUAUGCUUUUCAUGAACUAACACUUUUGUUCAUUUCAAUUCUGUCAUGAAUUCGAAAGAAGGACACAGCAAAUAGGUACUUAACUAAAGUAAGUGCUUUCUCCCAUGGUUUUAUCAAUCCAAGUCUAUGGACAUAAUACAGAAUCAAGAAUCCAAGGAAACUGCUCUGAAUUUCACUGUAAGCAUAGCUCAUUUUUUUGACCUGUUGAUUGCAGUUAAUUUAACGUCACGACCUGCACCUCAGAAUCUCUCAUGUCCCCUGCAGCUUUGUCAAGAUGCUUUGUAUAUAGCUGGUACCCAGAGAAGGUUUGCCACAUUGCACGGAGUUGAUCACCCAUUUUAUUCACUGGAUUUGGCUUUGAGCAACUUACACUUUUUUCUCUCCAAAAAUUAAGUCCACCCACGAAGGAAAAAGGCAGAAGGAUGCUGUGGCAAAAAUGCUAUCCUGGAAAACAGAUCUUGGCCCUGGUCCCAGCUCUCUGUGACUUUGGACACAUCAGUUGAUCUUUUUAGAUCAAAUUUCCCCAUAAAAGGGGGUACUAGACAAGAUGCAUGUGCCAGACUGCCAAGGCCAAGGCACACCCUAAGCCACUCAUAGUAAUAUCCCUGGAACUGUAGACCCUUGCAGAGAGAUUAUAGAAGUGAUUUUGAAUAAUUAUUGAGUUAAGUGCUAGCAUUCCAGCAUGACCGCUUCAAAAGAGGUAAUGCAUAUUUUUUUUUGUAUUUUUUUGGCUUUUUUUAAAGUUACAUUACUUUAGUGUUAUAUGUCAUAUAGUCAUUAGGAAUUCCAAGAGAGCAAAUGUCAACAAAGGUCUGAAGUUGUUUGGCAUUUUAUCAAUCAUUAUUUAGAGUUUUCUUUUUUUCUUUUUUUUUUCUUAAUGUGGU
rnacentral:lncRNA from 1 species